UACAGAGGUCUCAAGCGUUGUUCGGAUUCAUUGGGCGUAAAGGGUGCGUAGGCGGCCUGUUAAGUCGAACGUGAAAUCCCCGGGCUCAACCCGGGAACUGCGUCCGAUACUGGCAGGCUUGAAUUCGGGAGAGGGAUGCGGAAUUCCAGGUGUAGCGGUGAAAUGCGUAGAUAUCUGGAGGAGCAUCUGUGGCGAAGGCGACACCCUGGACCAGCACUGACACUGAGGCACGAAAGCGUGGGGAGCAAACAGG
rnacentral:rRNA from 1 species